rnacentral:rRNA from 1 species
AUUGAACGCUGGCGGCAUGCCUUACACAUGCAAGUCGAACGGCAGCACGGGGGCAACCCUGGUGGCGAGUGGCGAACGGGUGAGUAAUACAUCGGAACGUGCCCAGUCGUGGGGGAUAACGUAGCGAAAGUUACGCUAAUACCGCAUACGAUCUCUGGAUGAAAGCGGGGGACCGCAAGGCCUCGCGCGAUUGGAGCGGCCGAUGGCAGAUUAGGUAGUUGGUGGGGUAAAAGCUUACCAAGCCUCCGAUCUGUAGCUGGUCUGAGAGGACGAUCAGCCACACUGGGACUGAGACACGGCCCAGACUCCUACGGGAGGCAGCAGUGGGGAAUUUUGGACAAGGGGCGCAAGCCUGAUCCAGCAAUGCCGCGUGCAGGACGAAGGCCUUCGGGUUGUAGACUGCUUUUGUACGGAGCGAAACGGCUUCCACUAAUACUGGGGGCUAAUGACGGUACCGUAAGAAUAAGCACCGGCUAACUACGUGCCAGCCGCCGCCGUAA